UAUUCGAGUUAUGAAAUAUCGUUUAUUCAACAAAAAUUUAAUAUAGGCUUUUAUGGAUUAUUUCAAAAGUCACGUUAAAAUAUGUGACUUUACAAUAUAAAUAUGAUAAUAUAAGUAUGUUAAUAUUUGAUAACAUAAAAAAUACUGAUCUUGUAGUGACUCCGCAGCGAAUUGACAAACGUUCUUAGUUCCCUAUCGUACAAAUGCGAUCAAUAGUGAUUCUAUAUGUUUUAACGUAUAGAUAUAGAUUUUAUAUGUUUUAACAUAUAGAAAUAUUUGAAAACAUAAACAUAUUUUAAGAUGUUGACAUGGAUGGAAAAAAUCUUUUUGAUUGUCGUGGUCGUAAGAAAAUUGAUAAGAAGAGCACGUACGUGAUAUGGAAAAAAGCACUAAAUCGAUACGAUGAAUCGAAAGAAAGGAUAAAAUUCUCUUAACAUCCUUUUAGUUCAUUCUUUAUCACUAAUCGCUGAAGUCACACAUAACCCUUAAUUGAUAUUGGAAGAACAGCCUUAAAUGACUGUUGUUCAUUUUGAUUUUUGAAAAGCGUGCGAUUCUAACCAUUCGAAACACUUAUCAUUAUAUUAACUAUUUACCCUGGAAAGUUUCAAAAAUUCAUUAGAUAGCUAGGUAAUCCUUCCAACUUCCAAACCUCGGAUUUCUGGAUAACUUCAGGAAGCUUAAGGAAUCUGUGACUAAUGAUCAUACAUUUAAAAAACAGGUGAUUAUCUUGGAGCAACAACGUGGAAAAUCAUGUGACCACCUAUCAGUCCAGCAUUAAGUUCGUUUGAUUUGAUCAUUUGAAUCAACUGCUUUAUUUCGUCGAGGAGCGAUACAACUUAUUGUGAAUGCCAACUUUAGAAACUUUCGACUACAUCUGCUGCUUCUUAAACAGCAGACAACUGAGAACUAACGAUUUUAUUCUACUUAUCCUACUUGCCGCAUUC